UACGUAGGUGACCAGCGUUGUCCGGAUUUACUGGGCGUAAAGAGCGCGCAGGCGGUCGUUCAAGUCGAGUGUGAAAGCCCCCGGCUCAACUGGGGAGGGUCAUUCGAUACUGAUCGACUCGAAGGCAGGAGAGGGAAGCGGAAUUCCCGGUGUAGUGGUGAAAUGCGUAGAUAUCGGGAGGAACACCAGUGGCGAAGGCGGCUUCCUGGCCUGUUCUUGACGCUGAGACGCGAAAGCGUGGGGAGCGAACAGG
rnacentral:rRNA from 1 species